CAGUUUGGGCCUUGUGCCGGAUUGCGUUUUAAGAGAAUGCGGGGUUGAUAGUGGAUUGAACCCGCCCAUCUUUCUGAAGGGGCAAAUUCCUUCCAGAACUGCCUAAUCCAAUACCGCUUUGGCCUAACAAGGACACGUGCGGAGCCUGGGCCUGAACGUCUAUUGCCAAGGUUGGUUUCUGCACAAGGGCUCAAUUGGGACUACCUCCUAAGGAACUGGCGGGAUUGUGCUUCAGCAGCAUAGACGACUCGCAUUGACGAUUCGGAACAUUUCGCAUCCAAAGGUCGAUGAAGCGUCGGUACCCUGUAAUAUCCCAGCGCGUUUAUUAAUGUAUGGUAUUGCCUGCUUACUGCGCAAUUUGGAACCGCCCCCACGAAAUCAGGUUGGCAUUGUUGGUGAUCCGCUGAAGCGAGGAGUUGGACACGCGCCAUCAUCUCACGUCCCCCGCCGGUGCGUUAUUGACCCAGGCAGCAGGUUAGUGCUUGGGAGGAGACGUAGUCAUUUAUAUGUGUGCAUCUAGAGUAAUAUUCUCAGAACGUUUUGGGACGUCACACGGGCGCGUUCGGCCAAAACGCAGCGUGUAGAGUUCCAGGACCCUGGCGGGCGGACCAUGAAAGAUUUACAUCACUUCAAAUAGACAGCGUAUAAGCUUAUGAAGCUUAAAUUCUACCCCGCAAUUGCGGCAGUUUGCCAUUGGGCGCAUUGCAUUCCUGUGCGCGGACCGGCACGUAACAUGAAAUUGUCCCGCGCGGUCAAGCUACUACGGCAAAGCAGUAAGCUAAACAGAUAAAAUAAAAUUCCUUGUUUUAAAUUAUGCGAUCACGUGAUAUAAAUAACCCAGCAAAGUCGUCCCUGCUUUCGUAGAGCCCUCGUAAACGAAAUGCCUCCAAAUCGUAAGUCCCCAACCUAGCCCUCAGGAGCUGUAAUCUAAUGUUUUCUAAAUGUAACCUAAUGUUAUAUAUAAAAGUAAUAUUCCGUCCGCUUGCAGCAGCUGGAAACCUCGAUCACACUACUGGCCGACAUCUCCACACUAUUGGUCGACAUUAGAACCUGGACAGGGUAGUUGAGUAAUCAAAGUCAUGUUGGGACAACGCAGUUUUCAGCUUUAAAAACUUGACGCAUAAAACCGCCCGGGUGUGCGUCCUACCGCAAAUGGAUGUGACAUGAACCGACGUAUAGCCUUAGAUAAAAAAGAGAUUCACGACUGCUGUCCAGCAUCAGGUCUCCGGCUGCCACGACCAGCAGCGCAUUUCUACUUGGGGUUAUAAUGGACGGAAUGAAUGAUUUCUCAAAUCUUGAUGGUCAUAAGGUGGGACUCGGAAGCUGGUUACAGCUCCACGCAGCAGGUAGAGUGCGGCGGGGUGCGUGACUGGCGGAAAGAUAAAAAUGAGGAGGGCAACAAGAAAGGAGCAAACAAGGAGGCGCAAAAGGGGGAGCCCUCAAGACGGGGGGCGCCCUGCACGGCCCCAGGCGGGCCCCCUGUAGAAGACCUCCAGGCGGCGGCGGAUGUACGGCGUCCAGGGAAUCAGGCGAAACUAGGCAAUCAGAAAGCUGCAACAGAUUCACAAGAAGCGGAUUUUUUUACGUGAAUCCUGAUCGCAUGUGUGGCACUUAACGGAUAUAUCCGUUGUGGAGGAACACAUGUCACCGCUGGCCAGUGCAGGUGGUACAACAUCUUGUCUAUCUUGCCUUCCCUUGAGCCAGGGAAUCAGGCGAAACUAGGCAAUCAGAAAGCUGCAACAGAUUCACAAGAAGCGGAUUUUUUUACGUGAAUCCUGAUCGCAUGUGUGGCACUUAACGGAUGUAUCCGUUGUGGAGGAACACAUGUCACCGCUGGCCAGUGCAGGUGGUACAACAUCUUGUCUAUCUUGCCUUAUAAAAAGACUUCAGUAGGUCCCUGACCCGUAUUUUUGUUAUGUAAUGUCUUUGGGUUGCGUCAUGAACCCAAAGCCCAGACGAGCAUCUAGGAACACGUGAAAGCGAGAGUUGAGGAUGGGGGUGGGGGUGGGGGUGGGGGUUAAGUGAACUCUCGUAGCCAUAACCAUUGUGCAGGCCCCUGAAUAUGCUGACAUUGCGUUUAGCAUGUAGUUGUUGUGUGGCUUACUGUUUUGCGACUGCUGUAGUUUGCCUCAGGCGGGUGAAGAUAAGUUUGUUUAGGAAGGCAGCAGCAGCCCCGCCCCUAUUCGGAAAGCAGCUUGGCUUGGGUCACAAAUCGAGUUGAAUGAGCUAAAACAACGCUGAACAAUAAUAAUAAUAAUAAUAACCCUGUGCUUAUAUGCGGAGUUGCUGUUGUUGCUCCACAAAUCCGACGUCGUGUUGAUGGGGGAUUGUUACACUGUGUGCGGCUCGACGAGCACCGGGGGCCCUGACCGGGUUGUGUUGUUUGCUUCAAUGUAAUGAUAGCACAAACAUCCCGCGGGUGCAGUUAAGAAGGGCCUAUCACAGAGCCUACUCUUUAUGCUUAGUGGACUAUCAUAUAGCACUUGCCGAAGCUAAGAAAAAGGAUAAUGUCUGAGGAAAGAGCGACUCAGCCGGCCCUGACCUGGAAGCCCUGGGCAUUUACCACACCUUGCUGCAGUGGCUGGCCUGCCACCGAUGGUGACUAGGCGAGGCUACAUUACUACAUUACUACAUUUCUAAUGACCUGCUGUCCGCAUGGUGGCCUUGCACGUCAACAUAUGUGCUCAGCAGUAAACCUACGCGCUCCUGACAAUCCCCAUGACGAUUCCUUUUGCAACGGUUGCCAAACCGUUGUUUAGGGCUGUCAGGGUCCUGUGUACGCGGCAUGGGGUUGUUCUCAAGCACCUUGCAGUCGUCCAUCCCUCCCGCACACUAGCUAGGUGUGGCACCCAGCCAGCCCUCACAUGCCCCUCCACCUCCACCCCACCACGUCAUUCGCAGGCUGCCCUGUCGUCCUGAUCUCGGCCAGCUCGCCCGGCUCCCGUGCGGCGGCCUCAACGGCAGGUAGCUUGGGACUUGCCAGAUCAGCAGGAGGAGCCAACAGAGUCAUGUGUAGGAGGCAGCCGCUGCAGGCGGCCAAGAGGAUGGCUGUGGUCCCGGGCAUGAGCCGCCGUCGCCAGCCAGCCAUCGCAUUGCCCAGCGCCGCGGGUGCACUGAUGUCCGUGGCGCUGCUGAUACCGCUGCUGGUGCUCCUGAACACACAAAUGGCAGUGGCACAAGAUCCGCCGUCACCAGAGCCGCCAUCGCCAGCGCCACCAUCACCGGCGCCGCCAUCACCAGCGCCGCCAUCACCAGCGCCGCCAUCACCAGCGCCNN
rnacentral:lncRNA from 1 species